rnacentral:rRNA from 1 species
ACCGGAGCUAAUACCGGAUAAUAUAUUGAACCGCAUGGUUCAAUAGUGAAAGACGGUUUUGCUGUCACUUAUAGAUGGAUCCGCGCCGCAUUAGCUAGUUAGUAAGGUAACGGCUUACCAAGGCAACGAUGCGUAGCCGACCUGAGAGGGUGAUCGGCCACACUGGAACUGAGACACGGUCCAG